GAGUUUGAUCGUGGCUCAGGACGAACGCUGGCGGCGUGCCUAAUACAUGCAAGUCGAGCGAGCUGAAUUCAAAGAUCCCUUCGGGGUGAUUUGUUGGACGCUAGCGGCGGAUGGGUGAGUAACACGUGGGCAAUCUGCCCUAAAGACUGGGAUACCACUUGGAAACAGGUGCUAAUACCGGAUAACAACAUGAAUCGCAUGAUUCAAGUUUGAAAGGCGGCGCAAGCUGUCACUUUAGGAUGAGCCCGCGGCGCAUUAGCUAGUUGGUGGGGUAAAGGCCUACCAAGGCAAUGAUGCGUAGCCGAGUUGAGAGACUGAUCGGCCACAUUGGGACUGAGACACGGCCCAAACUCCUACGGGAGGCAGCAGUAGGGAAUCUUCCACAAUGGACGCAAGUCUGAUGGAGCAACGCCGCGUGAGUGAAG
rnacentral:rRNA from 1 species